AGCGGGGUAGGGUAGCCAGGUUAUCCCGCGGGGCUCAUAACCCCGAGAUCGGUGGUUCAAAUCCACCCCCCGCUACCA
rnacentral:tRNA from 1 species